rnacentral:rRNA from 1 species
AAAACUACCGGUUCUCGUUCGAUCACCGAAGUCAAGCAUCAUAGGGCGCGGUCAAUACUUGGGAGGGUGACCACCUAGGAACACCACGUGCCGUUG